UGUGUGUGUGUGUGUGUGUGUGUGUGUGUGUGUGUAUGUCUGUGUGUGUGUGUGUGUGUGUGUCUCCAUGACAGAUUGUGCUCCUCGCCCCAACAGAGGAUUAAAAGGGCUGAGCUCAUGGAUGGAUCACAUCUCCAGUAUUUCAUUAACUCAGAGACAUGUGUGGACAAUACACGAUUCAUUCAUUAACUCAGAGACAGGUGUGGACAAUACACGAUUCAUUCAUUAACUCAGAGACACGUGUGGACAAUACACGAUUCAUUCAUUAACUCAGAGACAGGUGUGGACAAUACACGAUUCAUUCAUUAACUCAGAGACACGUGUGGACAAUACACGAUUCAUUCAUUAACUCAGAGACAGGUGUGGACAAUACACGAUUCAUUCAUUAACUCAGAGACAGGUGUGGACAAAACACGAUUCAUUCAUUAACUCAGAGACAGGUGUGGACAAUACACGAUUCAUUCAUUAACUCAGAGACAGGUGUGGACAAUACACGAUUCAUUCAUUAACUCAGAGACAGGUGUGGACAAUACACGAUUCAUUCAUUAACUCAGAGACAGGUGUGGACAAUACACGAUUCAUUCAUUAACUCAGAGACACGUGUGGACAAUACACGAUUCAUUCAUUAACUCAGAGACAGGUGUGGACAAUACACGAUUCAUUCAUUAACUCAGAGACAGGUGUGGACAAUACACGAUUCAUUCAUUAACUCAGAGACACGUGUGGACAAUACACGAUUCAUUCAUUAACUCAGAGACAGGUGUGGACAAUACACGAUUCAUUCAUUAACUCAGAGACACGUGUGGACAAUACACGAUUCAUUCAUUAACUCAGAGACAGGUGUGGACAAUACACGAUUCAUUCAUUAACUCAGAGACAGGUGUGGACAAUACACGAUUCAUUCAUUAACUCAGAGACAGGUGUGGACAAUACACGAUUCAUUCAUUAACUCAGAGACACGUGUGGACAAUACACGAUUCAUUCAUUAACUCAGAGACAGGUGUGGACAAUACACGAUUCAUUCAUUAACUCAGAGACAGGUGUGGACAAUACACGAUUCAUUCAUUAACUCAGAGACACGUGUGGACAAUACACGAUUCAUUCAUUAACUCAGAGACAGGUGUGGACAAUACACGAUUCAUUCAUUAACUCAGAGACAGGUGUGGACAAUACACGAUUCAUUCAUUAACUCAGAGACAGGUGUGGACAAUACACGAUUCAUUCAUUAACUCAGAGACGGGUGUGGACAAUACACGAUUCAUUCAUUAACUCAGAGACAGGUGUGGACAAUACACGAUUCAUUCAUUAACUCAGAGACAGGUGUGGACAAUACACGAUUCAUUCAUUAACUCAGAGACAGGUGUGGACAAUACACGAUUCAUUCAUUAACUCAGGGACAGGUGUGGACAAUACACGAUUCAUUCAUUAACUCAGAGACAGGUGUGGACAAUACACGAUUCAUUCAUUAACUCAGAGACAGGUGUGGACAAUACACGAUUCAUUCAUUAACUCAGAGACAGGUGUGGACAAUACACGAUUCAUUCAUUAACUCAGAGACAGGUGUGGACAAUACACGAUUCAUUCAUUAACUCAGAGACAGGUGUGGACAAUACACGAUUCAUUCAUUAACUCAGAGACAGGUGUGGACAAUACACGAUUCAUUCAUUAACUCAGAGACAGUUGUCAGUAAAAGUGGCUCAUCAAUCGGAACAAAUGGGAGAGAUACAAGCUUCAACACAACUAGAUUGUAAAACAUGGAUUAAUUUCUCAAUAUAGUAUGUACUUAUUAUGAGCAUGGUAACACCCUGUAGGACAUCGGAAAGAGGUGUAAUGGGACACCUUGAUCUGCGUCCCAAACUGCACCCUAUUCCCUACAUAGGGCACUACUU